CCUACGGGGGGCAGCAGUGAGGAAUAUUGGUCAAUGGACGAGAGUCUGAACCAGCCAAGUAGCGUGAAGGAUGACUGCCCUAUGGGUUGUAAACUUCUUUUAUAUGGGAAUAAAAUGUUCCACGUGUGGGCUUUUGUAUGUACCAUAUGAAUAAGGAUCGGCUAACUCCGUGCCAGCAGCCGCGGUAAUACGGAGGAUCCGAGCGUUAUCCGGAUUUAUUGGGUUUAAAGGGAGCGUAGGUGGAUUGUUAAGUCAGUUGUGAAAGUUUGCGGCUCAACCGUAAAAUUGCAGUUGAAACUGGCAGUCUUGAGUACAGUAGAGGUGUGCGGAAUUCGUGGUGUAGCGGUGAAAUGCUUAGAUAUCACGAAGAACUCCGAUUGCGAAGGCAGCUCACUGGACUGCAACUGACACUGAGGCGCGAAAGUGUGGGUAUCAAACAGGAUUAGAUACCCGGGUAGUC
rnacentral:rRNA from 1 species